GAUGAACGCUAGCGACAGGCUUAACACAUGCAAGUCGAGGGGCAUCAGGGUUUAUCUUUCGGGGUAAACUGCUGGCGACCGGCGCACGGGUGAGUAACGCGUAUGAAACUUACCCUCUACACAGGGAUAGCCCGUUGAAAAACGGAUUAAUACCUGAUAUAAUCGAUUGUUCACAUGGAUUUUCGAUGAAAGAUUGAUCGGUAUUGGAUAGUCAUGCGUUCCAUUAGUUAGUUGGUGAGGUAACGGCUCACCAAGACCACGAUGGAUAGGGGAACUGAGAGGUUUAUCCCCCACACUGGAACUGAGACACGGACCAGACUCCUACGGGAGGCAGCAGUGAGGAAUAUUGGUCAAUGGGCGAGAGCUUGAACCAGCCAAGUCGCGUGAAGGAUGACUGCCCUUUGGGUUGUAAACUUCUUUUGUACGAGAAUAAAUGUGGUUACGUGUAACUAUUUGCAGGUAUCGUACGAAUAAGCAUCGGCUAACUCCGUGCCAGCCGCCGCCGUAA
rnacentral:rRNA from 1 species